rnacentral:rRNA from 1 species
GAUGAACGCUGGCGGCGUGCCUAAUACAUGCAAGUCGAGCGAACAGACGAGGAGCUUGCUCCUCUGACGUUAGCGGCGGACGGGUGAGUAACACGUGGAUAACCUACCUAUAAGACUGGGAUAACUUCGGGAAACCGGAGCUAAUACCGGAUAAUAUAUUGAACCGCAUGGUUCAAUAGUGAAAGACGGUUUUGCUGUCACUUAUAGAUGGAUCCGCGCCGCAUUAGCUAGUUGGUAAGGUAACGGCUUACCAAGGCAACGAUGCGUAGCCGACCUGAGAGGGUGAUCGGCCACACUGGAACUGAGACACGGUCCAGACUCCUACGGGAGGCAGCAGUAGGGAAUCUUCCGCAAUGGGCGAAAGCCUGACGGAGCAACGCCGCGUGAGUGAUGAAGGUCUUCGGAUCGUAAAACCCUUUUAUUAGGGAAGAACAAAAGUGGAAGGAACCAUGGACGUCUUGACGGUACCUAAACAGAAAGCCACGGCUAACUUCGUG